rnacentral:rRNA from 1 species
AGUGAACGCUGGCGGCAGGCUUAACACAUGCAAGUCGAACGGCAGCACAGUAAGAGCUUGCUCGAACGGGUGGCGAGUGGCGGACGGGUGCGGAAUACAUCGGAAUCUACUUUUUCGUGGGGGAUAACGAAGGGAAACUUACGCUAAUACCGCAUACGACCUACGGGUGAAAGCAGGGGAUCUUCGGACCUUGCGCGAUUGAAUGAGCCGAUGUCGGAUUAGCUAGUUGGCGGGGUAAAGGCCCACCAAGCAGACGCACCGUAGCUGGUCUGGGAGAUUGAUCAGCCACACUGGGACUGGAACACGGUCCAGACUCCUACGGGAGGCAGCAGUGGGGAAUAUUGGACAAUAGGCGCAAGCCUGAUCCAGCCAUACCGCGUGGGUGAAGAAGGCCUUCGGGUUUUGAAGCCCUUUUGUUGGGAAAGAAAAGCAGCAGGUUAAUACCCCGCUGUUCUGACGGUACCCAGAGAAUAAGCACCGGCUAACUUCGUG